rnacentral:rRNA from 1 species
GAUGAACGCUGGCGGCGUGCCUAACACAUGCAAGUCGAACGAAGCAUUUAGAACGGAUUACUUCGGUUUGAAGUUCUUUAUGACUGAGUGGCGGACGGGUGAGUAACGCGUGAGUAACCUGCCUUGUACUGGGGGAUAGCAGCUGGAAACGGCUGGUAAUACCGCAUAAGCGCACAAUGUUGCAUGACAUGGUGUGAAAAACUCCGGUGGUAUAAGAUGGACCCGCGUCUGAUUAGCUAGUUGGUGAGAUAAUGGCCCACCAAGGCGACGAUCAGUAGCCGACCUGAGAGGGUGACCGGCCACAUUGGGACUGAGACACGGCCCAGACUCCUACGGGAGGCAGCAGUGGGGAAUAUUGCACAAUGGAGGAAACUCUGAUGCAGCGACGCCGCGUGAGUGAAGAAGUAAUUCGUUAUGUAAAGCUCUAUCAGCAGGGAAGAUAGUGACGGUACCUGACUAAGAAGCUCCUGCUAACUACGUGCCAGCCGCUGCAGUAA